rnacentral:misc_RNA from 1 species
GAUGAAGAACGCAGCGAAAUGCGAUACGUAAUGUGAAUUGCAGAAUUCAGUGAAUCAUCGAGUCUUUGAACGCACAUUGCGCCCCCUGGUAUUCCGGGGGGCAUGCCUGUCCGAGCGUCAUUGCUGCCCUCAAGCACGGCUUGUGUGUUGGGCCUCCGUCCUCCUCCCGGGGGACGGGCCCGAAAGGCAGCGGCGGCACCGCGUCCGGUCCUCGAGCGUAUGGGGCUUUGUCACCCGCUCUAGAGGCCCGGCCGGUGCCAGCCGAUCGUUAAAUCAUUUCUUCAAGGUUGACCUCGGAUCAGGUAGGGAUACCCGCUGAACUUAAGCAUAUCAAUAAGCGGAGGA